GGUGCUAUAGUGUAGUGGUUAUCACUCGGGAUUUUGAUCAAUGAUAUUUAACAGAUUUCCCGAAACCCAGGUUCGAACCCUGGUAGCACCU